rnacentral:rRNA from 1 species
CACGUAGGGCGCAAGCGUUGUCCGGAAUUAUUGGGCGUAAAGAGCUCGUAGGCGGUCUGUUACGUCUGCUGUGAAAACCCAGGGCUUAACCCUGGGCUUGCAGUGGAUACGGGCAGACUAGAGGCAGGUAGGGGAGAAUGGAAUUCCCGGUGUAGCGGUGAAAUGCGCAGAUAUCGGGAGGAACACCAGUGGCGAAGGCGGCACCCUGGCCCACACCUGACGCUGAGGUGCGAAAGCGUGGGUAGCAAACAGG